UACGUAGGAGGCAAGCGUUGUCCGGAAUUACUGGGUGUAAAGCGCGUGUAGGCGGUCCGGUAAGUCCGCUGUGAAAGUCGGGGGGCUCAACCCUCGGAUGCCGGUGGAUACUGUCGGGCUUGAGUACGGAAGAGGCGAGUGGAAUUCCUGGUGUAGCGGUGAAAUGCGCAGAUAUCAGGAAGAACACCGACGGCGAAGGCAGCUCGCUGGGACGGUACUGACGCUGAGACGCGAAAGCGUGGGGAGCGAACAGG
rnacentral:rRNA from 1 species